rnacentral:rRNA from 1 species
UUAAUAGUAAGAUCUGCUCAACGAUAUAUUCAAAUAGCCGCAAUUCGUGCUAAGGUAGCAUAAUCAUUUGUCUUUCAAAUGAAGACUAGAACAAAAGAUUUAACAUUUUAAUUUAUUUAUUAAUUUUAAUAAUUUAAAUUUACUAAAAUGUAAAAAGACAUUUAUAAACAAGAAAGACGACAAGACCCUAUUGAACUUAACUUAAGUUAAACUGGGGCAGUUAAUUAAUUAAUAUUUUAUAUUAAAGAUAAUAAAAACCUAUCUAAUAUAAUUAAAUUAUUCAGUUACCAUAGGGAUAACAGCGCAAUUAAAUUUUUAAGUUCUUAUAUUAAAUUAAGAUUACGACCUCGAUGUUGAAUUAAUAACCUCAUUUAAGCAAAUUUUUAAAAAGGAAGUCUGUUCGACUUUUAAACAAUUACAUGAUUUGAGUUCAGACCGGUAUAAGCCAGGUCGGUUUCUAUCUUCUUGAAAUCUUUUUACAGUACGAAAGGACCUAAAGAAAUUAAAAUUUAAAUAAUAUUGGCAGACAAAUGCAUUAGAAUUAGAAUCUAAUUAAUCUUAU